GCUCUUGGUUCUCUUCAGAUCGCAUAAAUCUUUCGCCUUUUACUAAAGAUUUCCGUGGAGAGGACCAAUAAGAGUAUAUCUAUUUUUUUUUCAAUUGAAUGCUACACACUUC